rnacentral:rRNA from 1 species
AUUGAACGCUGGCGGCAGGCCUAACACAUGCAAGUCGAACGAGUGGCGGACGGGUGAGUAAUGUCUGGGAAACUGCCUGAUGGAGGGGGAUAACGACGGGAAACUGUAGCUAAUACCGCAUACCAUAGGAUGUGCCCAAGUGGGAUUAGGUUGUUGGUGGGGUAACGGCUCACCAAGGCGACGAUCCCUAGCUGGUCUGAGAGGAUGACCCGGCACACUGGAACUGAGGACAGGGCCCGAACCCUACGGGAGGCAGCAGUUGGGAAUAGUGGCCAAUGGGCGCAAGCCUGAUGCAGCCAUGCCGCCGGGAGUAAGAAGGGCCUCGGGUUGGAAAGGACUUUCAGCUGAGAGGCGUUACCCGCAGAAGAAGCACCGGCUAACUCCGUGCCAGCAGCCGCGGUAAUUC